AGCCAUCAUAGUGCAGUGGUUUGAUUGUUGGACUACGACUCUAGAGAACAGGGUUCAAUUCCCAGCUUGGCUA